GCGACCCUAGGUCAGGCGGUACAACCCGCUGAGUU
rnacentral:rRNA from 1 species